rnacentral:rRNA from 1 species
GACGAACGCUGGCGGCGUGCUUAACACAUGCAAGUCGAACGGAAAGGCCCUGCUUUUGUGGGGUGCUCGAGUGGCGAACGGGUGAGUAACACGUGAGUAACCUGCCCUUGACUUUGGGAUAACUUCAGGAAACUGGGGCUAAUACCGGAUAGGAGCUCCUGCUGCAUGGUGGGGGUUGGAAAGUUUCGGCGGUUGGGGAUGGACUCGCGGCUUAUCAGCUUGUUGGUGGGGUAGUGGCUUACCAAGGCUUUGACGGGUAGCCGGCCUGAGGGGGUGACCGGCACCUUUGGGACGGGGCUCCGGCCGGGCCCCCUCCGGGGGGAGGCGGGGGGGAUUUUUGAAGAGUGGGCGGAGCCCGGAUCCAGCAACCCCGCGUGGGGGAUGAGGGCUUUCGGUUUUUAACCCCCUUUCGCCGGGGACGAGGGGGGGGGGAGGUAAAGGGGUAAAGAAGCCCCGGCUAACUAGGUC